CCAGGGUCUGGUCCCUGACGACGCGCAGUGAGGGCCCCGCCGCUACCCCAGCAGUCGCCUCCCAAGUUCGCGGAACGCAGCUGACCGGCUCCCUCUGGACUGGGUGACAUGACUGCUCCCAAGCAGUCGUUUGUAAACUGAGUUUCUGUAAAACAAUUUUAUUUUUCAUAUGUGACUGUAGCGGGGUAUGAUUUGAACUUUGUUUUCCGUCCCCCAGCCCGGAUUCUCUGUCUUCUCCUGUACAGCCGUUCCGUUUUCUUACCUCGUCUCCGUCACCGAGGCCCUCAGCCCUGAACACAAGGACUGGGCAGUUUCCCUAUUGAUUCCUGAACCUGGAACUUAAGACAUCUUCCGAGGGGCCCCCCCUUGCCACACCCUCUAGCUGAUCGACUCACAAAUACCUGUGAUUUCUCUCCCCGUCUCCACCUCCAGUUUGUCUCUUCCAGAAUUGAAACUGUAAAACUACAAAUGGUUCUUCAAAUGGAGCCCCAGAUGCAGUCCAUGACUAAGAUCCACCACAGACCCCUGGACCAGCCUGCUAGCCCAUGCUCCGAUGUUAAUGACAUCGAAGGCACCCCCCCCGAGGAAAUCUCAACUGUGCAACCCCUACUAUGCCCCAAUUCAGCAGGAAGCAGUUACAGCGGUCAUCAGCCAACCUCCCCAACAGCACUUGGGUUUUCCUGUUGAGAGGGGGCACUGAGAGACAAGACUAGCUGGAUUUCCUAGGCCGACUAAGAAUCCCUAAGCGUAGCUGGGAAGGUGACUGCAUCCACCUUUAAACAUGGGGCUUGCCACUUAGCUCACACCCAACCAAUCAGAGAGCUCACUAAAAUGCUAAUUAGGCAAAAACAGGAGGUAAAGAAAUAGCCAAUCACCUUUUGCCUGAGAGCACAGCAGGAGGGACAAGGAUCGGGAUAUAAACCCGGGCAUUCAAGCCGGCAAUGGCAACCCCCUUUGGGUCCCCUCCCUUUGUAUGGGAGCUCUGUUUUCACUCUAUUAAAUCUUGCAACUGCACUCUUCUGGUCCAUGUUUGUUACGGCUCGAGCUGAGCUUUCGCUCCCCGUCCACCACUGCUGUUUGCCACUGUCGCAGACCUGCCGCUGACUCCCAUCCUGCUGCUGACUCCCAUCCCUCCAGAUCCGGCAGGGUGUCUGCUGUGCUCCUG
rnacentral:lncRNA from 1 species